CGAUAUAUCGAUCUUUGACAACAGAAGCCACCGUACACAGACCAGACCAACAGACCGCCAUUUAUUGUUAUUUUUUCAGCUACUCUCGCAAUUUGGCGAUUUUAGUGUUAGACAAGUGUUACCCGAAUUUAUAGAAUACAAAGAUUCAUUAGCAACUUACUGGAGCUAAGAGAAAGCCUGCGUUGCUUCUCCCAAAAUUUCAUUUGCGACUUGGUCUUCGUUGGAGGUUUAAAACCAUUUAACACGACGUCGUGUAGGUCGCCGUCAAAGAUUGUGAAGUCUUUUGGCGGACGCCACCGAGGUCUGCUUUGCUAUUGGAUUUCGCAUGGAGCGGAUCGUGCAUCGAUGUUGCGAUACCGUUUUCAUCGUUCAAGUCGUCACGUUGCUGACAUGAUCAUCACAUUCAAAGCAGAGACUGCUAUCUUGUUCAUCACUUGAGCACUGUGUGUAGUCUGAUGCCAGAUCACAGGAAUGGAUGUAAAUGAGUUUAGUAUAAGGGGAGAUGUGGACUGUAGAAAGCCACGACUUGUACAUACCAGUGAAUCGUCCAAUCACAAUGGACAUGUCAGCACAAUAAAUCUAUCCUAUCAGAUUGUUUUACAAGACCACAACUAUGGAGCCCCUCUACCCUCACACAACAAUGAAUCCCCUUUGUAUGCUGUCCAGUGUAAGCAAGAACCAUCUGAUUCCCAUACAUCCAGUGUUUUCCCUGUUUCACAUUCUCAGCGAGGAGGCAUUAAAACCCUCAAUCCCAGACCACCUUCCAUUAGCCCCCAGACAGGACGUGCAAAUAAACCAAAUGGUGUUAAUUCUGCAUCAACAAAACGACAAAGGACAAUCAGUGGUAAUAGCAAUGGAAUUGGACCUAAUUCUAACGUCAUCUCUCCCAAUCUGGCUGGGUCCCGACGGCCGGGAAUACACGAGACUCAUAAGAGCCACAAUAAUCUGCCAACCCCUCCAUUGGUGCCCAAAGGUUCUCCUGGAUUUCCCCCCUAUGCGGGCGAUUUAAACUCUCACCUCUACGCAUCAAUUUCAAGUGAAAAGACUUCCAUUAAGGAAGAAUCCAGAGGUCCGGCAAUCACCAACGGUUCGUCAGGCCUUUCCAACUAUUUAAGUGGUUGGUACCGGGGUAGUGGCGGGAACAAUACUGAGCGAGUGCGAUCGCGGUCGGACAUGCGCGACAGCUUCAACGAUGAUGAUUCCAACGAUGGCAGCUUAGGUAACAGCCCGCGCAUGGCCACCGAGACGGACCAUGAAGGCGAAGAAACUGAAACGGCAAAUGAGUGUGAGGAUGAAGAGGACGAACAGGAUGAUGUCGAUCUCGGUCUUCUUGGCGGAGGACGUGAUUUGACCAACGUUGAUGAAAGCGUUACACGCUGUAUUUGCAAAUUCGGACACGAUGAUGGUUAUAUGAUUUGUUGUGACAGAUGCUCUGUAUGGCAACAUGUCGAUUGCAUGAAUUUGGACCGUAAUAACAUACCCGAUGAGUUUCUGUGCGAGCUGUGCCAGCCACGUCGAGUCGAUCGGGCUAGAGCUCGUGCCAUACAAUAUCGUAAGCGUCAGGAAUUUCGCCUCGCCACCCCUCCUCCGUCAAGUAGCCUCGAUCGCGCGUUGGUGACCCGCAGAGAGAGAAGCAAGGACAGGACCAAAAAUGAUGAUUACAUUGACGUCGAAAAAACUUCCAAAAAGUUUCAAAAGAAUUCCACCAUCAACAAUACUGGGUCAAAGUAUACGCGGGGUGGUGCCAAAGGUGGAAGCGCUACAGCUGAUAGAAAUGAAAAAUUUCAGCGUGCUGGUAAGCGAGUCGGACAACCAAAAUGGAGAAGGAAGGGAAAUGAGAAGCAGGAAGAAUCCGCACCGCGAAAGAGAAAGAUGUUCCGAACUAAAUCUUCAUCGGACGUGAUCGAUGUUGGAGGUCCCUCGUCCUCGACUACCGAGAACAGUCCAUCAGGAGGUAGAAAUCAUCCCAGUGGUGAACUCUUACUGCAAUGGAUUGACCAUUAUGAAGAAGCGGUCACCAACCACUAUUCGCCCGAGUUGAGAGCUCGUGUAGCAGCCGUCCGACCAAAUGGAUUCGGUGGCGAACUGCUUUCUCCGCCUUCUUCAACGCCUGUUUACCGCCUCGCAAGUAAAGCUGGAGGUUACAAGACGUUAGUCGCCGCAAACCCGAUUCGCUGCGGGUCGCCUGUAAUCGAAUGUCGUGGAAAAUAUAUGCUGGCCAGCCAGCUGAGGCCGUACAAAUCGGGAGAUGGUCCUGGACUUAGUGGAUCCGGCGCGUCAGCUCUCCGCCCGACGCCUCAUAUCAUCUUCCACCACCUCUUAGCCAGUAGCACUGACAAUACCACACCUGCUGUAGAGAUGUGUGUUGAUGGCCGCAGUUACGGCAAUGAGGCUCGGUUUGUCUGGCAGUCCUGUCAGCCUAAUGCCGAGAUAAAGCACAAGGUUGAAAAAGGUUCUGUCCAUUUGUUUCUGGUAGCCAAGACUGAUAUCCUUGAAAGCGAGGAGAUCACUGUAGUGCACGAUGUCAAAAAUCCACUGCCUUGUCCGUACGAAGGUUGCCCGCACAUGAGGAAUAAGGACAGUGGAGCUCGAACUGGAUUAAGCCAAGCUACCAACCCAUUAUCAGUUCUCUCUCCAGUGGAAGCCGACCGUAAGCGCCGAAGGAGGAGAACAGAUUCGACAGCAAAUGAUCCUUCUUCCAGUGCCGCUAUUGGUGCGGUGAAUGUGACACCGGAAUCGUCGAUAGCGACACCGGUAGCUUCUGUCCCCAAUGCCCAGACUUCAGUACCAGCACCUCCACCUAUGCCGUGCGCCCUUCCACCAACGCCCGUCAAGCGCCAACAGCGUACUCCUUCCAAGGUUUCAGUCGUCGUUACAGAGGGUGAAGAUUCUCAAGAUGAUAGUAUAAACCCACAUGACGAGACAGACGGACAAGGCUCUAUGGACAACGAAUCUUCAUCUAAAAAGAAGCCAUUGUCACGCGAGGAAAGGAAGAUGGAAGCCAUUAUGAAAGCCUUUGAAAGAAUGGAAAAGGCCCAACAACGACGCCAAGAAUCGAUAGCCAAAACAACGCAUCGCAAAGAUCCUAGGGAUGACAAAGAUGAGCCAGGUGAUGAAGUAGACUCUCCACCUCCUUCCCAUGGAUCGGGAAACACUGGGGUUAUAGAGAAGCGUGUUAUGGUGGUACAAGAAGCCAGAAAUAAAACUUUCCGCAGAGGGCUUUGCAGGAAGCGAGGUGGUCGCAUGCGGAGAUCCAGUAGUGGAGCGAGUGUCAACGAGAGUUCACGUAUACGUAUGCGGGCAUUAUCCGGUGAGGUUCAUUCGGGGCAUUCGGCGACUGAAGAAGAAUCUGAGCAUGGUGGUAGCAGCAGUAGUCCCGGUCAACCCAAUCCAGGCACACCUAGCGAUGAUCCUUCUACUAUGGCAUUUAAAUGUCCUAAAACAAAGAAGGUGGUUUUCAAUAAUUGGAGUGGGGACGGAAGCGAGCUGAAUGGGAACAAAGGAGAUUCCAAUGACCUGCUGGGCGGUUCAAAUUCUCUCUCCCUUUCUGUGCCAGUAUGUUACAUGAGGAACCCCAACCCGCGAAGUCCAACCCGGCCUUUGCGGACAGCCCACCUGCGGUAUGGCGCGACGACAACCCAACAAUCUGCAUCAGACUCGAAACCUUCCUACAACAUGAUUUUGAAUGGUUGCAGGCCUUCUACCCUGGCUUCGUUGAAAUCCUCUGCGGGUUCGGCUUCUCCCGAUCCACACGGAGAGGGAGGACACUCCAACGAUGAAAAUUCCUGGACAGCGCCUUUACCUGGCAGUGGUGGGCCCGGCGGUUCGGCCAAAAAGCGCUGGUUGAGACAGGCCAUCAGUGAAGAAACCGAAACCGAGUCGCCAACCAGUGGCGGUUGUUUAGGUAUUGGUGGCUUCGGAUCAGGUGGUACUGUGCCAGCCAAUGAAGUGUUGGAUCACGUUACUCCUCUCAAAAAGAGGCGUUUAGCUAGAGCAUCUCUGUCAUCUGAGACGUCGUUCACGCCACCAUCGACACCUACACCAUCCAACGUUGGUGUCACCGGAUCGAGUGAAAAUGUUUCCAACGAAUCGGGAUUACAGCCGUUGAUGGAAAAGGAAGCGGAAUCCCUUUCAGCUGAAAAUAGUCGAGGAACUCCACCAGAGUUUGACGAUGGAUUAAGCGAAGGGAAUCAGGCGCAACAGCAACAAUCUGGUGGCCAUUCAAACGAAGCUUCUGAUCCACCCACUCCGCCACUACCGCCUGCGAUAGAAAUGGCGAAAGCCAUCGUUGGUUUGAGUUCGCCAACGAACGGUUACGUUAGUGAGUCUUCUCAGCAGAUCUGGGCAUCGCAGUCUGAGGAACAUGUACAAGUACCACCCGAGGCAAAUGUCGUUGCGUUCGCAUCGGUAGACGAGCACGUAAGCGCUGCAGCUGCCCUUACACAGUUUCAUGAAGGUGGCCUUUUUAUUUCGUCGUCUCGACCAACAUGGGAGUUUAGGGCUCCAGACGCCCAGUUUAUGCGGGGCCGGAAUCCUAGUGACGUGCCAGAUGCUGUAACUACGGAUGUUAUUCAAGAAGUUAUCCGUGAAGAGAAGCCUAAACCCGUGAAGAGAAAGCUCUCCAUUUUGGAAUAUAGACAACGCAAGCAAAUUGCGUUUAGUGACUGCAUAGAUGCGCCGACAAAAGAAGAACCGAACGGAAAUGAAACUUCAACGCUCAAGGUACAGCGAGACUCGAUGGUUGAGGAGAAUUCCGAUUCUAACCCAGCCAUGUUAACGAGGACCAAAGAUCCGCCGAUUCUCGCGGCGGAUGAUUCUCACUCAAAGUCCGAGAGCACUGCGGAUGAUUCCAACACAAAUUCGUCUUAUGAAGCAGACGAAGAAACACCCACAUCUAUCUAAGAAAAAGAAGGGAAAAAAUGAAAAAUUAAAAAGAUGGAAUUGCGAUGGAGAAGCGACAACUACACAAGCCACAAAGCACUUGGAGGGUUGGGAUUUCCGUUUAUCAUUUCACACUUGUCUUCUGAAAAAAAGAAAGGAGAGUUUUGAGCACCGUCGGGACCGGCUGCAAAAUCUUUCGCCCUCUCCCCAAUUCACUUUGCGCCUUUUCCUUUCAUUUCAUCUCUCACGCUUUGUCUCUAGACACUCACAAACGAUUCGUUAUCGAAAACGAAAAGAAAACAAUUGAAAACCAGAGCCCCUUUACGAGUUACCUUUUUUGAUCUCCGAUUUUCCCUCUUUUUUUUUUUUUUUUCCUUUCUUAUUUUUCCCUUUUUUCGUCAUUCAGUUUGUACCGUGUUUUCUUUUUUCUACCAACCCUGCGUUCCUUCUUUCUCUCUGUCUGUUCUUCGCGUACACCAGACACUAUAUUAUUAUUAUUCCUCUCUUUUGUUCAUGAUAAUUUGGCCGGCUUUAUUAUCGCUUUGUUUUUCACGCCUUUCUCGUGGGCUGCGUGAGUGUUCUAUAUUGUAUCGGUGGGGGUUUUUUCUUUGAAUGUUUGAUUUACGCGUACACGGCUGGAGUAGCGCCUCCGAUUGACCUGUUUUUCUCUGCUGACCUUAAAGUAAAAAGAAGAAAAAAAGGGGGGAGUUAAGAAAUAUGUGAAAACGAAGUGACUUUUGAGAUGCAUCCUACACAUACUAUAUUAAACACUGAAAAAUCCGCCAUGCUCUAUACAUGUAUAUUUUUGUCGUCUCGGAAGGUGGUGGGCGGAAAAGAAACACGUAUGAUUGGUUCAACUGUACCUGCGAUAUUACUAAGGCGUGUUGUGUUGGUUUGUUUUGUUCCCUUGCCUCUUCUUUUGUUUUUGUUUUCGUUUUUUUUUUUUUUCUUCGUUUUUUUUUUUUAUAUUUUUGUCGCGAAUGCCCACUUUUCUUGUCGUUUACCGAAAAUAUUGUAUUUCUUUUUUGUCCCAUCUUUCACGCGGGAAAGAUUCGGAUAGUAUUUUUGUUUUGUCGAAUGUCGUUCUUCCGAUUCUUUCCGUUUUCCCUUUCCCUUGUUUUCUUUGAAUACCAGACUAUAAAACAAAAAUACAGAAAUAUGGGAAAUGGUUAAA
rnacentral:misc_RNA from 1 species